rnacentral:rRNA from 1 species
UUGAACUUCGGUUUGGGUGGCGGACGGGUGAGUAACGCGUAAAGAACUUGCCUCACAGUCUGGGACAACAUCUGGAAACGGAUGCUAAAACUGGAUAUUAUGAACUAUGCGCAUGCAUGGAUUAUGAAAGCUAUAUGCGCUGUGAGAGAGCUUUGCGUCCCAUUAGCUAGUUGGAGAGGUAACGGCUCACCAAGGCGAUGAUGGGUAGCCGGCCUGAAAGGGUGAACGGCCACAAGGGGACUGAGACACGGCCCUUACUCCUACGGGAGGCAGCAGUGGGGAAUAUUGGACAAUGGACCAAGAGUCUGAUCCAGCAAUUCUGUGUGCACCAUGA